rnacentral:ncRNA from 1 species
AAGGGAAGUCGGCAAAUCUGUCCAGUAACUUCGGGAAAAGGAUUGGCUCCAGUGAGCUGGUCGGCUGGCCUGUUAACUGAUGCUUGUGCGAUUUCGCCCGUGGCUGGCAGACACUAGUGACAAGACUGCCUUGUAGAAGUUUUCAGGUGUGUGCUUUGUCUUCGGGCUUAGUAUCCUGAACCAUCAAAACGGUCGAACUAAAACUGGUACGGACUCGGGGAAUCCGACUCUCUAAGUAAAACAGAGGAGAAAUGUGGUCUUUGCGGACACUUACUGUCUCUGAUUUCUGCCCAGCGCUCUGAAAGUUAAAUCGUAGUAAUUCGAGUGAGCGUGGGUAAACGGCGGGAGUAACAUUCACUCUUGAUCGUUACUCCUGAAAUAAAGUUAGACAGAGUGGCUUGCAUGCACAGCUUUACAGAUUGGUGAGCGCUCCCGUUGGAGCUGAUCCUUGGCCGUAUGUAGUUCCUUGUUUCUGUGCUCCAAACUACAUCAAGAUAUUAGCAAAACGCCUUGUUGUCACAACUGGAUUCUCCCCUCCAU